rnacentral:rRNA from 1 species
GUGGGGAAUCUUCCGCAAUGGACGAAAGUCUGACGGAGCAACGCCGCGUGAGUGAUGAAGGUCUUCGGAUUGUAAAGCUCUGUUAAUCGGGACGAAAGAGCCUAGUGUGAAUAAUGCUAGGAAGUGACGGUACCGGAAUAGAAAGCCACGGCUAACUACGUGCCAGCAGCCGCGGUAAUACGUAGGUGGCAAGCGUUGUCCGGAAUUAUUGGGCGUAAAGCGCGCGCAGGCGGAUCUGCCGUCCGGUCUUAAAAGUUCGGGGCUUAACCCCGUGAUGGGAUGGAAACUACAGAUCUAGAGUAUCGGAGAGGAAAGUGGAAUUCCUAGUGUAGCGGUGAAAUGCGUAGAUAUUAGGAAGAACACCAGUGGCGAAGGCGACUUUCUGGACGAAAACUGACGCUGAGGCGCGAAAGCCAGGGGAGCGAACGGGAUUAGAAACCCGUGUAGUCC